GUCCUUAUUUCCUAAGGGAAUGCAGAUACGGGCAGGUUCAGUGGGUGUCCAGAGCAGGCAGCACGGCCAGGACGAGCACAUGGCAGGAGCAGCGAGGGAGGUGGUGCGUGGUGUGCAGUACAAGGAGCCUGAAAGCAAGAGCUGCUCAGCAGGGCAGUGAAGUUGUUUUGCAAGACAGGUGGCUGUGGGGUCUCUUUGGUCAGCGGGAUUGGAAGAGAGCCGUCGUCUGCUUCCUCGAUGGUCUGCCAGCCCAUGUGUUUGGGAAGGCAAAUCUGAAAGGAAGCUGUUGAGCACUCUUCUGUGUGAGUUCCUCAGACGAUGGUUGUGUUUCUCCCCCUCGUUCCACCCGUUUUCAAAUAAUUUUCAUGCUGGGAAUAAAUCUGAGCGCAUAACAAUAAUGUUCAGCAUAUGAUAACCAAGACAAUUGUAUAUAUACAAGCAGCCACAUGGAAAACAAAUGAGCUGAUGGAAAGACAGGAAAAAAAGUGCAAGAUGAACCAGAGACACAGUUACCAUUUUCACAGUAAGACCAAAUAACUUUGCCAUUUCCAUGUAACUACUCUUUUUUUUUAUUUCCCCAGGAAAAUAGGAUUCUGAAAAACAUUUUUAGUUACUAAUUUAUUUAUUUUUCUCAACAAUUUAUGCGAUGGUGGGAAAAACCUGUCUCCCGUCAGCCAGUAUGCUAUGGGCCAACUACACUUGAGGAACACAAAGCUGAAUUCUUCCCUGAAUUUUGUCUAUGAGUUUCUAUUGAAUUCAGUGGCGUUUUGUAGCUGGAGCUUGGGAUUUUGACACUACUGUAUGAAUUAAAGAACAGAGAGGUCUAAACUAUUUGUAUAUUUUUAAAUGCCAAAUACACUGGGCUGCUGCUGCUAUCUUGAA